AACAGUAGGUGAAAACGUGUCAGUUAAAACGAGGGACCUAAAAAGUGAGAUUGGAGGAAAUAAGUAUGAUCUAACACAAACGUGUACAGGUAGAUGGAUGCUUCUAGUCUAAGCAAUUCUCUCUAUAAACCCCCAUAAACCCUCUAAGGCUUUGCUUCUAUAAAAAGUUCCCAAAUAGCCUUCCCAAAAUCAUUGCAAAUUGUUCGAGUAUUUAUUCAAUAUUAUCAAGUGCCCUGCUCUUGGUCUCUGUUUGGCUUGCUGGUCUCUCAGUUUUGCCCCGUGGUGGUGCUUUCGUAGAGGGUGGUGUUGCAAAAAGCUAGCUAACAAUGGGACCAGGCGGACCAGGUGGACCUCCUGGUCCACCCGGUCCUCCGGGACCGCCAGGUUUCUUCGGUGGAAUAUGUGAUUGUAUUGGUUCUUGCCUGAGCUUCUUAUGCUGUUGCUGGCUGCUUCGAGAUUGCUUCGGGGGUCCAGGUGGGCCUCCUGGACCUCCUGGACCUCCAGGCCCAUUUGGACCACCUCCCCCAUGAAUCAUGAUUAGCAGCUGCUUGCUACCAUUCGGACAUACAUAUAAUAUAGUGUUUUUGCACAUAGAACUUGUAAUAAAGGAAUUCUUGUGUUAGAAGCAGUGCGUUAGGAACACAAUAUUAAUGUUGUUUCCACUAUUUCAUCUUACAUUUUAACGUCUGGUUGUGGACAUAUAUAUGUAUAUAUCAUAUGCAAUACCAUCGACUUUAUCAUAAAAUUAUUUUCA